UAAUGAAUAGACAUGAGCUAUGUACUGAAUUGCUCAGUAGAAUUGGGUACUUACUUGUGCAUAAAUACUUAGCUGAGGAUAGACUUUAAAAUACAGAAUUAGGAGAAAACAGCAAAAUACACGAAGCCAGAUACUGAACAAAGAGAAUUCUCUUAGAACCCAGAGAAUGAUGUGGCAAAACAGAGGACUAUCUAGAAGUAGACAGAAAGAGACCAAAGAUCAAUAAUCAACACGCAUUGAUUUUCAGGUGGUUUUUAUAUCUUACCUUUCUUUUUUUUUCAUUCUUGAGUGUAUCUUGUUACAGUUUAGCUGUGGUUUUUAACUCGAUUUUCACUUUGCCUAUCUUUCAGAGAGAAAUCACUUUGUUCUAUGUCGAAAGAUAUUGCAAUUGGCCCCUGUGGGUAUAAGCAAACCAGAUCCACUCUUUUUCUUUUCUCUUUAACCAAGUGUUCUAAAGAACUUUCAGGAUCUUGUAUUCAAAUUGCUAAAAUAUUUUCAUGCAAGCUAACCUUUCUACUUUUUAGAGUUUCUUAGUGCCAUGUGCUAAUUAUUAGGUAAAGAGCUAAUCAUUUCAGUGAACGUUAUGUUAUAUACCUCUUGCGUAACAGCUUUGUGAAACGGGAGCGACUGCGGACUCGUUUGGGAGACUGCCUCGCGCCCGCCCCACGCAACGCGCAGUGCCGCCGCCGGCCGGGAGGUGGCGCGCUCCGCCAGGGCACCGCGGCCCGCCCAGCAGCGGCGGGAAAGGCGCAACGCCUUUCUCUCGGGGCCGAGCUCCAGAGCUUCAGCGCUGUCGGAUAAUCUCUCAGGGUGAUCCCUUGCUGAAUAUUAUCUUUGUUAAUUAAAGUUGUACAGAGAAUAAAGUCCUCACUGUGUUGGAAAUAUGAACUGUCUAACAAGUAGCUAUAAUAAAGUAUGAAAAGAGCUGGAGAAUCUAACAAAAUCACACAGUCCUUUAUUUCACAGUUAUCAUGCAAAUCAGACGGCACAAGCUCUCCUGGUUGGCAUUCUGCCUGGUAGAUAUUUGCAGGAUGGGGCCUCAGGUCUUCCAGGCUCACAGCACAGCUAGACACCCUCAGCUGCAGGGCCAUACAGUAUGGAUUCCCAAGCAAAACAUCUCGCUUUGUGGGAUCUUUUAAAACAGCAGUUUUUCAGUCUGAAAUGUAAGUAUACUUUUCUUAUAUUCCUUUUUGUGAACAGCUGAUCUUCAAGUUUGUAGAUGUGCCUAGCAAGUGAACAAAAUAGCUUAUACCUCUUAUAACGCACGGUGCUUGUUCUUCACCGAAGCUAAGUUAAGUUUCAGUAAGGAAAGCAGACAAAUUCCAGUUUCUCCAGUAGACCCUCACGUGCCUCGUUUCACAACUCGCAUGCUCCAGUUGAUAGGAAUAACCUAAGCAAAAAGCAAGCUGAAAGUCCUGGAUGAACAUCUAAUUGGGGUACCAAAUUUUCUGUCACUUAAAAUAACAUGAUCUACUAAGACAGUUCCUCUGGUUUGUAAUUGCUUUGUCUGAGCCCUUUCCCAUACAGCGCAUGCACUAUAAACAAAUGAAUAUGAGAGUUUCAGUUCAGGAGCCACAGUACAGCCAUGUGGUAGAAGGUGGCCAGUGCAGUAUGUGGAUGUCUAGAAUAAACUACUAGAAUAAAUUACA
rnacentral:lncRNA from 1 species